CAGCAGCAGGCAGGGGGCGCCUCCAUUGCAUGGCUGCUGCAGGACACGCCUCCGGCGGACACCGUGAGAGACCUGGCAGGGCCUGAUGCAGCGACUCCAGCCACUCCACCCUGCCACCAUGCAGGAGACCGCUGGAAGACAAGGGGUGUCCACAGAGGGACCAGAGAGCCUGGCAGGAACACUGCAGAGCAGACUCACACACUGACCAGGCAGCUGGACCAGAGGACAUUACGGAUGACGCCUGCUCUGCCCACUGGGCAGGUGAGACAAUUUGCAGAAAAAUAGGUGAUAUCACCCUACACUCAACAGUACCGUGUCAUGAAGCAGCGUGGACACGUGAGGGGGACUGCCCCACGUGUGAUUAUCCGUACCACACC
rnacentral:lncRNA from 1 species